rnacentral:rRNA from 1 species
CCUUAGAGUUUGAUCCUGGCUCAGAGCGAACGCUGGCGGCAGGCUUAACACAUGCAAGUCGAGCGGGCCCUUCGGGGUCAGCGGCGGACGGGUGAGUAACGCGUGGGAACGUGCCUUCUGGUUCGGAAUAACCCUGGGAAACUAGGGCUAAUACCGGAUACGCCCUUUUGGGGAAAGGUUUACUGCCGGAAGACCGGCCCGCGUCUGAUUAGCUAGUUGGUGGGGUAACGGCCUACCAAGGCGACGAUCAGUAGCUGGUCUGAGAGGAUGAUCAGCCACACUGGGACUGAGACACGGCCCAGACUCCUACGGGAGGCAGCAGUGGGGAAUAUUGGACAAUGGGCGCAAGCCUGAUCCAGCCAUGCCGCGUGAGUGAUGAAGGCCUUAGGGUUGUAAAGCUCUUUUAUCCGGGACGAUAAUGACGGUACCGGAGGAAUAAGCCCCGGCUAACUUCGUGCCAGCAGCCGCGGUAAUACGAAGGGGGCUAGCGUUGCUCGGAAUCACUGGGCGUAAAGGGCGCGUAGGCGGCGUUUUAAGUCGGGGGUGAAAGCCUGUGGCUCAACCACAGAAUGGCCUUCGAUACUGGGACGCUUGAGUAUGGUAGAGGUUGGUGGAACUGCGAGUGUAGAGGUGAAAUUCGUAGAUAUUCGCAAGAACACCGGUGGCGAAGGCGGCCAACUGGACCAUUACUGACGCUGAGGCGCGAAAGCGUGGGGAGCAAACAGGAUUAGAUACCCCUGUAGUCCUGGCAGUAAACGGUGCACGCUUGGUGUGCGGGGAAUCGACCCCCUGCGUGCCGGAGCUAACGCGUUAAGCGUGCCGCCUGGGGAGUACGGCCGCAAGAUUAAAACUCAAAGAAAUUGACGGGGACCCGCACAAGCGGUGGAGUAUGUGGCUUAAUUCGAUGCAACGCGAAGAACCUUACCUGGGCUUGACAUGUAAUGAACAACAUGUGAAAGCAUGCGACUCUUCGGAGGCGUUACACAGGUGCUGCAUGGCCGUCGUCAGCUCGUGUCGUGAGAUGUUUGGUUAAGUCCAGCAACGAGCGCAACCCCUGUUGCCAGUUACCAGCACGUGAAGGUGGGGACUCUGGCGAGACUGCCCAGAUCAACUGGGAAGAAGGUGGGGACGACGUCAGGUCAGUAUGGCCCUUAUGCCCAGGGCUGCACACGUACUACAAUGCCCAGUACAGAGGGGGCCGAAGCCGCGAGGCGGAGGAAAUCCUAAAAACUGGGCCCAGUUCGGACUGUAGGCUGCAACCCGCCUACACGAAGCCGGAAUCGCUAGUAAUGGCGCAUCAGCUACGGCGCCGUGAAUACGUUCCCGGGUCUUGCACACAGCGCCCGUCA